GGGUGUUUGGUCUAGUGGUAUGAUUCUUACUUUGGGUGCAAGAAGUCGUGAGUUCGAUUUUCAUAACACCCC
rnacentral:tRNA from 1 species